GGCGAACGGCUGAGUAACACGUGGGCAACCUGCCCUUUGCACUGGGAUAGCCUCGGGAAACCGAGGUUAAUACCGGAUACUCCAUAUUUGUCGCAUGGCGAAUAUGGGAAAGCUCCGGCGGCAAAGGAUGGGCCCGCGGCCUGUUAGCUAGUUGGUGGGGUAGUGGCCUACCAAGGCAAUGAUGGGUAGCCGGGUUGAGAGACCGACCGGCCAGAUUGGGACUGAGACACGGCCCAGACUCCUACGGGAGGCAGCAGCG
rnacentral:rRNA from 1 species